rnacentral:lncRNA from 1 species
UGAAACUCUGUCAGAAAACACCCUGGCUGGCUGGGUUUAAAAGUCAGCUCUCCUCCUGUCAGCCACAUUACUCUAAUUUGGGCUGGAGGUUAAAUACAAUUGAUCGUUUAGGUGCAUAUUCUACCACAAUGCACAAAGGAAAACUAAGCCACUUCAUUCAGUCCAAGACCCUACCGGGUUAAUGAAAUGUUCUUAAAAUAAACAGCUCACCUGUGUGUUUGCUAGCUGAAUAAUCAAUGGUAUGAUACUGUUUUGAGAAUAUAGCCUGGAAAUAAGUGGGCAGAGUUGACAAUUAAGUUCUGUAGGUAAAAUUAUAUCUGCCUAUUUGUAUGCUUUCAAACAAAAAUUAAAAUGCUCAUCGUUGCUUUUGGAAGAGAAGAGACAGUUCAUCAGUACCUCAGGUGGCUCCUUUGUCUCCCAAAGCAUCUCAACCCUCAUUGUACCUUGAAGCACCCUUGCAGUGACACAGCAUCAUGGGCCACCAGGAAACAGAAGCCUUACAAAGUAGCAGCAACCAACUGUUGUGUUUCUGACCCCAGUGAACUGCAACAAGAAAGGGUUUUUGUGUGGGCCUCAGGAGUGAGAAAUAAUCACACCAUAAAUUUACAAGCUCUUAAGCAUUGUUUUAAGAACAGAAAGAUGCACCAGUUUUGGUGCAAAAUGUUCCUUUUUGAGGUAAAAGCAGAAUUUUUUGUGGAAAAGGGUACUAUCAGAUAA